AAUUUAUUUUGGAUUUUAUCUAAAACAUCUAAAACACACAGUCAGUAGUAAACAUACAGGUGCAAAUAUAUAAAUAUACUCAAUUAAUUAUUUUAAUAAGUGAAAAUUCUAUAAAGCCCUUAAACUUGACAAGGCUAUUAGUGAUUGACUAUAACUGGUAGUUUUUCUUUGCCAUCAUAAAAAGGAUUUGUUUAAUAGCACUCACUGGUUUGAACAAUACAAGACAGUUAUGUACAGAUACCAAAUACUGUACAUAGGUGAAAGUUAUUUGGAUGUGUCAGCACUUUGCUAAGGUCUGGCAAAAGACCCAAACUCUCACCCUCAAAUGAGAGACGAGUGGUCAGGAUGUUUAGGAACAACCCAGGAACAACCAGUGCUCACACGUGCCAUGGAAUCCGGUGGAACACCGGCAUCACUGUCCACAGUGAAACAAGUUUUACAUUGCCAUGGACUGAGAGGGUGCUGACCAAGAUAAAAGCAUCUGGUCAAAAAUCAGCACCUUCAAGCUUAUCUGAAAUUUGCAGCUGCCCACAUGGACAAGCCAAAUGUCUUCUGGAGAAAUGUUUCGUUGCCAGAUGAGACGAAGAUUGAGCCACAAUCAGGCGAUCGCCGUGGGUGAACAGCACGAUGGUGUAGUCCCACACUCUUGGGCCAAACUUUGCUUCGAUCAGCGUGUGGGUGUCUUGGUCUUCCUGAGUCAGCCUUCCUAAAGGAACAACGUAUGCAAAGACGUGGGGUCCUGGUUCCUGGAGUUUCAGGCGUUGAAGAAUCUCUCGGAUGAUGUCCUCGUUGUUGCUUCCCCUCUCGAAAAGCCCAGGUGUGUCAAUCACAUCGACAGGUAUAUCUCCAACCACCCCGGACUCUUUUUCACAGUGAACAGUGACGCUGCCCAGCUUCAUCUCUGACCUGAACACCAUUUUAUUGAGGAUGGUGUUCCCACUCGAGCUCUUGCCUGCACCACAUUUUCCAAGAAGCAUGAUCCUCA